UGUAGGCGUAUACCAAAGUUGUUGCAGUUAAAACGCUCGUAGUCGAAUUUUGGUGUGAGUUAUGGAGACUCCUACUGGAUGUUGAAGUAACUUCGCCUUUGUGGAGGGGGGUGUGGUGGUACUUUAUUGUAUUGCUGCAUUUCCGCCACUGUUUACUGUGAAAAAAUUAGAGUGUUCAAAGCGAGCGUUUGCCAUGAAUACAUUAGCAUGGAAUAAUAGAAUAGGACCUGGUUCUGUUUUAUUGGUUUGUCUGUAUCAGGUAAUGAUUAACAGGGACGGUCGGGGGUAUUUGUAUUCCAGCGUUAGAGGUGAAAUUCUUGGAUCGCUGGAAGACAGACAGCUGCGAAAGCGUCUACCAAGGACGUUUNCAUUGA
rnacentral:rRNA from 1 species